rnacentral:rRNA from 2 species
CCAAUAGCGUAUAUUAAAGUUGUUGCAGUUAAAAAGCUCGUAGUUGAACUUCGGGGUCUACCCAUUGGUCAGGCUUAAUUGUCUGCACUGGUGAGAUGGAUCUCUACCUUCUGAGGAACUUUCAUGCCAUUUAUUUGGUGUGGUUGGAAAUCAGGACUGUUACUUUGAAAAAAUUAGAGUGUUUAAAGCAGACUAUCGUCUGAAUACAUUAGCAUGGAAUAAUGAAAUAGGACGGACUGAUUCUAUUUCGUUGGUUUCUAGGAUCACCGUAAUGAUUAAUAGGGAUAGUUGUGGGCAUUAGUAUUCAAUUGUCAGAGGUGAAAUUCUUGGAUUUAUUGAAGACUAACUACUGCGAAAGCAUUUGCCAAGGAUGUUUUCAUUAAUCAAGAACGAAAGUUAGGGGAUCGAAGACGAUCAGAUACCGUCGUAGUCUUAACCAUAAACUAUGCCGACUAGGGAUCGGACGAAGUUAAUUUUAUAAUGACGCGUUCGGCACCUUACG